GAUGAAGAACGCAGCGAAAUGCGAUAAGUAAUGUGAAUUGCAGAAUUCAGUGAAUCAUCGAAUCUUUGAACGCACAUUGCGCCCCCUGGUAUUCCGGGGGGCAUGCCUGUCCGAACGUCAUUACAACCCUCAAGCUCAGCUUGGUGUUGGGCCCCGCCGCCCCGGCGGGCCCUAAAGUCAGUGGCGGUGCCGUCCGGCUCCGAGCGUAGUAAUUCUUCUCGCUCUGGAGGUCCGGUCGUGUGCUCGCCAGCAACCCCCAAUUUUUUUCAGGUUGACCUCGGAUCAGGUAGGGAUACCCGCUGAACUUAAGCAUAUCAAUAAGCGGAGGA
rnacentral:misc_RNA from 1 species